UAAUAAGUGUUUUAUGGCACUUUUUAAAUCCAUAUCCACCUUGUGUGCAAUGUCAGUUGUAUCUCUUAUGGAGAUCGACCAAACAUCAACCUAUUUUUUAACUCUUUGUCUGAAAAAUAUUAUGAAUAAAUAAUUCAAAAUA
rnacentral:misc_RNA from 1 species